rnacentral:rRNA from 1 species
UCAGUUCGGACUGGAGUCUGNAACCCGACUCCACGAAGCUGGAUUCGCUAGUAAUCGCGCAUCAGCCACGGCGCGGUGAAUACGUUCCCGGGCCUUGUACACACCGCCCGUCACACCAUGGGAGUCGAUAACGCCCGAAGUCAGUGACCCAACCGAGAGGAGGGAGCUGCCGAAGGCGGGAUGGAUAACUGGGGUGAAGUCGUAACAAGGUAAC